rnacentral:tRNA from 1 species
CGGGGCGUAGCGCAGUCUGGUAGCGCACCUGGUUCGGGACCAGGGGGUCCCGCGUUCAAAUCGCGGCGCCCCGACCA